rnacentral:rRNA from 1 species
UACGUAGGGGGCUAGCGUUGUCCGGAAUCAUUGGGCGUAAAGAGCGUGUAGGCGGCCCGGUAAGUCCGCUGUAAAAGUCAAAGGCUCAACCUUUGAAUGUCAGUGGAUACUGCCGGGCUAGAGUCCGGAAGAGGCGAGUGGAACUCCUGGUGUAGCGGUGAAAUGCGCAGAUAUCAGGAGGGACACCAAUUGCGAAGGCAGCUCGCUGGGACGUUACUGACGCUGAGACGCGAAAGCGUGGGGAGCAAACAGG